AAAAAAACAUUGUUCAGCACUUAAAGGUUGGGUACGCGAUUUGCGAAACGCCAGCAGAUUUUGAAAAUACACAACUCAAAUGGUCCUACCCCCUCUCCUUCAACGCUGACUCUGACUCCACCCAUUCCAAGUACCUGGACGCGCAAUCAUGCACGAGCGCGAACAGAGAUGCGCGAGAGCGAGCCAGGCUAGCGUAGGUUUUCGUUUAACAACAUGGCACUACAUUCAGCUGUAAAUUGCACCCAGUACCGCGGGAAGUAGGGGUUUUGGGGGUGCUGCAACACCCCCUGUCCGAGGCCCUGUCUUAUCACAGAAAACGAUCAUUUCUAAAAACUCCGGCCAAAGUGGAGAUUUCUGAAAACGCCGGUUAUGUGUUGUCGUAUCAACGGGGAGAAACGGGAUUUUAGGUUCUGAAGCGUCACAUUAUGCACCAGGAAAUGCUUAACGUCAUGUGAGCGUCCGCUGUACCGUAUUGGUCCGAAUAUAAACACAAACCCCAUUGUAAUACGACCUAUAUUUGGAAAAAAGAUUUGAAGACCAGAUCUUGAUUUCAUGAAUAAAUAAAUUGUAUUAAUUGAAAUAAUAUACGAAAAUAAAAAGGCAUAGAAUAAAACACUGCAUUGCCACUAAACAGUAGUGCAAAUAGGCCGUACUGAUGUGUACACCAAAGACUUCCUGACACUCCUCUGCCCCGCUGUGUUCGCUCUGGCUGUGGUCGCUCCGAACUGUUUCGGCCCGUGGCAAAGCGAGUCAUCCUCGCUGCUGUCCAAGGCAUGUUGAGACGCAGCAUUUAUUUAAUGCUCAUAUGUCCUAGUGCUGAAAAAAGGUUAUAUGAAAAAGUGUGAGGGUAGCGGUGGUGCGCUAAACUUGUUCUGUGAGCAGCUGGAUGUGAACCAUGGUGUGAAGGAAGUGAACACAACGAUCGAUUUUCAACUGUGCGCGCAUGCACUGGUGUAAUUGAGCUGCGCUGCUAUAUCUUUUUUAUCAAUGUGACGAGUUGCGAGUCUAGUGCAGGCCGGGUUUUUUUUCCCAGCACCCACUGCUGAGAAUACGUUCUCGCGGCUAUGGUUGCACCAGAUGUUAUAAACAUUAAACGGUCACAUAAAUCAUUACUAUUUUUAGAAAAUGUAUGUUUGUUUCAUAUCAUUGUAUUGGAAGUCCUGGUUUUCACUAGGGUUGCCGCGGUGUGGACAUUUUCACACCGAGUAAUACACUCGUCUCAACACCGGUAUUACCGAGUAUAAACGGUAUAAACUUUGAAACUAGGUCAACCGCCACACAAGCAUCCAGCGCCUAGGAUUAUUCUUGAUUUCAGUUUUUCUCUUUCAACGUUUUUAUUAUCAAUUACUCUCUGAAAAAGAUUUUUCCUUCUCUUUGCUGGUGGUGGUGGUGGUGGUGGUGGUGGGAUGGUGGCGUCUUGUCUGCCAUGGAAAUUGUCUUCUACUGCUAGGUCCAAAUGUGGAUUAACUAGUUCCAGUAGAUACCGCAGGAUAACAACAAACAGGAGCUUGCUCUGGGUCACGAGCUCUGGGUCACGAGUACUGCACGAAGGGGUCGCGCGCGGGGCGCGGGGGAGGGGGGGAGGGGGAGUGCAGUACGACCGUUUGAUUGACGUACUUACUGUCCAAUGAAACUCGGUGGCAAUGGAUAUGAUUGGCUGGAGUUUUUCGAGCCCUGCACGUUCCACAGAUGAUUGACAAGUUUAAUUUUCAUGUCAGUACUUCUAACUCAGUGGCUGUAAGCGGGUUAUGAUAAGGAUUUCAAGUAAUUUUGCAAAAAUGGCCAAAAAAGCAAAUCACCUAUGCAACCUUUAAUAA